AGGGAUUACCGCAUGAUGUCUUGCCACAUGUAUGUAUCAAUCUUGGGUGGGAUAACUUAUCCCUCGAAAUGAAACAGGUAUGCGUUUCGGUGCACUGUACAGAAGCGGUAACAUACCACCUAACUAGGAAAAUCGCAUGCGAGAUUAUAUCGAGGCGCUUGUGUUAAUAAUAAUAAUAAAAAGUUUAUACCGCUUUCUCACUGUUUCCUAUUUUAGAUUAUUGGUCAAGUGUAAUUCUAAAAAAACAAAAGAUUGUGGGCAGACUGUAUGCAUAGAAUACCAAACCACACCAGAGAUCGCAGUCGUCAUCCCUCUUGUCUCUAGGUGAUAACUGUCAGGGUUCCAUACUUAGGGAAGAGGCUCGAAUCCUCUAGUUUUGAUUCAGUUCCAUUACUGCUAAUCAGUGUUGUCCAUGUUCAUGUUGUAUCCUUACAAAAAUAUUAUUGAAAUUGUAAAACUUUUCGACAUUAGACGAACAAAUACAAGUUUAACAUUGGGAGAAAUUGACGCUGAGCUGUUUCUCCAACACAAUCGGAAGAUAUAAUGUGGAUGGAGAAGUCCCUUAGACUUUGGCAUCAAGCCUUAAAUAUGACAUUUUGUAAAUCAAUAUUCCUUACGGGUCCCUUGAACCAUUUUCUAGCAUCAAACGCCCACCAAAGCAUUAUCAGCGUAAAAAACAUACCAAUAGCUAGUGGUGCAUAGUUGAAAGUUUUCCACUGGAUGGGGUAGAGAGUUGGCAAGAGGAAGGCUGAACAAGUGUAACAUAUCCAUAAGAACGCUACCAAGCAAAUGGGCCUUCUUGCUCUACCCAAAUAAAAGGGUCCUGGUUUGAAGUUUUUCUCAGCCAUGACAAGCCUUGCAAAUAUUGGCACCGCAUAGCCUCCAACCCAGCCAAUUGUGCUUAUCGAUACAAUGGCUGUGAAAAUCACAUCAAGCUUCAGGAUGGGUAGUCCAAGAAUAAUGCUAAUGGCAGCACACAGCCACACAGCAUUUGUUGGAACCUUGUACUUUGGAUGAAUUCUUCUCCAGAUAGGUGAAAAUGGGAUCCCAUUGUCUCUUGAUAGAGCAUAGACCUAAAAGGAAUCGUGUGAGUGCCACCCGAAGAAAUACUUGUUUGUCAAACCAACAAAAUUUUAGGAACUGAAGAAGUUAAAGUGAAAUAUAGCUGCUAGAUGUAUUUUCAAAUCCCAUUUUAGAGAAGGAGAACGAGAUUCGAUCUCUUACCACUCUGGCAGCACAUGCGGUUACUGAGAGCCCACAGAAGAAGAAGGAUCCCCAGAUUAUACAUAGAAAAACUACUGCUCCAGUUGAAUUAUGGUACCUUCCAUAGAAUGCAUCAUAGAUUAUCUGUGCUGGUACUAAGACGCCAGCAGUCUCGUUGUUCACAUCGUACAAAUAGUUAAAAUCCUACAGUAAAAUCAAAAGCCUCGUGUCAGCAUAAACCCAUCUUUCUGGUAGGAAAAUAACCCAACAGAGAGAAUACCUGGAUACUGAAAGUAAGAGCCAAGUAAUAUGCCCAUCCCAUAACUGAGAUGAUGCCGAUACUGGAAAGAAUAGCAGCAGGGCCUGUUCUAUCAGCACCUUUUGUUUCUUCGGUUAAAUGAGCUGCUGUGUCGUAGCCAUAUAGGCAGUAGUUGCUUAGCAGCACAGAUAGAAUGACCGCAUAAGGUUUACUGCUUAUUCCAGUUGUCUCUGGUGAUGUUUCGAAAUGAGUGAACACAAAAGAAGCAGAUUGUGUUUGUUGUGCCACCAAAGGAAGCAUUACAAUCACUGCUAAACCCCCAAUCACCUGCACGUUUUCAUGAGCAAGCAGUCCUAUUGAACUUAAUAAGAUUGCUUUAAUUUCCUAGGAGAAGGGGGCAAAUUGCAUGAAUUGAAGACCCUAUAGUGUUUAUAUACGGAACCCUUUGGAAGGGAGAAGAAGGAAUAACUAGAGAGGCAGCAAAUUAACCUGCCACCAUAUGGAGAUAAUGCCAAGGAAUGCAAUGACUUGUAAAGCGAAGCUGUUGAGUACUGCCCACGUGAUAGUGAAACCAAUAUACACACACAAGAAAACACCUCUUGAAGCGAAGUAGCCUCCACCCUUGUUGUUUCCAGUGGCGAGAAAAAUAAUCAUCUGUAGUGCUUGGGCUCCUGAAUAUGCCUGCAAUGCUAGGUGGAAUGAAUUAGUGUGGUUGUUGUUAUUUUUUAAAGUGUUAAUAUAUUAAGAUAAUGUUUUUUUAUUUUUAAAAAAUUAUUUAUGACAUCAAUAAUUUAAAAAUACUAAAAAAAUAUUAAUUUUGAAUAAAAAAAAAAUUUAAUUUUUUUUAAAAAUAUUUUUAAAAUGCGAAAACAAGGAUUAAGAAUGCAUCGCUUUGCAAGUUCAUUGUAUAUCAUGCUUCUUCAACAUCAUUAUUCCUACAAAAGAGUGAAUAAUUCAACUAGCCGAUACCAACUUAAUUGACAAGACACUAUAUUGACUUCAUAAUAAAAAAAAUAAGCACGGUGUAUGUUUAUAUAGACAUACCUGAGCACCAAUUCCAGAAACGGCUCCAAUGGUCUCGAGCCAAGCGCAUUACCAGGAUGCAAAUGGCCCCCACUUGGGUCCAGCCAAAUGAGCAGCCCAGAAGUAAAGCGAACCCGUGGUCUGUUUAGUGUUUUAAGAAAAGUCCGUGAGAGAAAAAAUGAACAAAUUAUUGACAAAUUUUAUUUAUAGGCAAUGAUGGACAAUAUGGAGGUCUAAUUCCUCGGUGUAAAUAGAGGCAAAGGCACUCUAUGAGAAAUGAACAUGUAUAUAGAUAUAAGAAAUCAAGAUGUAUACGGGGAAAGAAGAGCAAAUCUCAGCCAUGGCAAUCCCAACAAACCAAGUGAAGAAAGUGACAACAACCCAUCCCCAUAUCAAGCUUGCAGGUCCUGCAUAACGGAGGCUUGACCCAUAGAGAGGUGUCCCGAUAAAAACUGCCAUGCUCGAAAAUGUAAUCGCAAGAGUCUUGAAAAAUGUCUGCAAGAAACCAACCAUGAAAAACAUAUGAAUCCAUACAUCAAAGAUGUCAAAAAAAGAAGAAAAAAAGGGGAAGAUUAUUAAUAUGCGAAACCAUUUCUCUUCUGAGUUCUUGCUUGUAUCCGAGCUCAUUGAGACGCUUCUCUGCAGAAUCAAUUCCGAAAGCUUUUUGAUCCAUGCUAAGAUGCUCUACUCCUGAACCCAUAACGAAAACUAGCUAGCAACGAUAACCAGGUUGUUCCCCAAGGAUAAGAGCUAGCUAGAGCUGAAACUCUAAUAUUAUUUGACAUAAACUGUAAGUUGCUAUAUGAAGGAUUAGGUUAUAUGUAGCUGUAGUUCGAAUACCAUGGCUCCAUGUUCUUUGGUUGUUUUGAAAUAGUCAUAACCAGAAUUGAAGGCAUCCUAAGACCACGAAUAACAAUAUCAAAUUAGUAAGCAGCAAGAUGAAACAAUUAAUGACCUCGGAGCGCGAUAUCAUUCCAUGUGGGAACCUAUCCUAUUAUAUUGGUGAAGGCAAAUAUUAAAGCAAAGAUACUCUGAAGAACGACUUGUUUAACUCUUUUGCCUUCUUUUCGGCACUUCUCUCUUGUCUUUACUGCUAGAAGUCCACCCUCAAGAUCUUUUGUUAUUUUGUUUUUUAAAAUAUGGCCCCAUUUAAUACGUUUGCCUUUUCUUUGACACAGACUGAGUUUCUCUAGUAAUUUAUUACUGUUUUUUGUCGGGCUUCCGAUAUAAUCGUCCCUCUAUUAUUUGAAAAUGUUUCAUUAAUUGAGUCUCUCUACUAAUAUAAUUAUGUCUCAUUGUAUCCUUGGAUAGCAGGUGUUUUUUAAAUAACAACUCUCCGUUAAUUAACGCCAUUAAAAAUUAAGGAUUGACCGUUGAAUUAACGACAUGUUCUAGAUAAUUUUUUCAACAAUUCUUUUCACAGGUCGCGAUGAUUGUUCUAUAUUUAAUAAAAAUUUAUUAUAUAGGUACACAAUGCGAUGAUAAAAAGACUCAAUGAAACAUUUAUUAGUACGAGGAUGAACUAUAUGAAAAUCUUAUUUUAUUUAUUUAUUUAUCAAACAUGUUGAUUGAAGUACAUAUAUAAUAUCUAGAGAUAAUUUAUGAUAAAGGGGAAAUAAACAGAGAAAAACUCGUUUUAAUAAGAUUUGAGGAAGGUCUAACUGUCUGAAGUUAGAUUUACAAUUAAAAAAUUGAGAAAUUAUACCAUUUAUAGUUGUGGAUUCAUAACUCACCUAGCUGAGUUGCAAGUUGGAAAAUAUAUAAACUAGAUAUAUAAUGAUGAAAUUAAAAAAAAAAUCAAAUUAUUUUUGGCCUUCACAUGUCUGUUUAAUGGCAUUUAAGAAUUUUUGUGAAGGUAGACUAUAUUAGUAAUUUUAAGUAUCUAUACUCGAUAAAUUAUAUGAAUUUAAACUGUGAAGGGGAGGAUUGUAGACAUGUUGUUCAUCCUACUUGUACGAGUAAUCAGGAAAAAGAAUUACUUUUAUUAUAUUAUAGGACAAACACAAAAUCAUACGACUAACCCAUGUAAAAUCAUCCGUGCAGGUGUGUUACACUAUUAAAUUGUAAAACAAGACAUUCAGUAGGCGCUCACACUAACAACUUGUAAAAUAUAGGAUUCAUGUGGGUGUUUUUUUUUUUGUGUCAGGUUUCAUAGAAUUCCGAGUUUAGUUCCCUUAUUUUUCACUAUUGAAUACAGAGAACAGUUCUUCUGAAGACUCUAGACUAUUUCUGGCGGGAUCAUCUUGUAAACAUGAAUAGGCUCGGCUCAGCGGUUUAUAUGAUUUUGUCAACGUAUUUCUCAUUAUCUUUCAGAUUGACUUAAACUGACUGAGAACCCUGGCAGGUCAAUGUAAGAAGUUUCAGGCACAGGAAUCCUAUCGAAGAAUACAAAAUUGAUGGUUGUCGGUUUUUCAUCUCAAUGCUGAGUGCAACUCGGAGAUUUAACUGUUGAAACACUUCUGCAGUAUUGGUCAUCUCCUACAGAAUCUCAAGAACUCUUUGCAUCAUAAAUGUCAGAUUAAUCAUAAAGCGGAAGGUAUAUAUCCUCCUCCCCUGUGUUAAACGUCAACUCUUGUUCAGGGGAAAUUGUUUUGAUUCUGUCAACACUGUUUAAGUCAAUGUGCCCCAUAAAAACAAAUCAUUGCUUCGUUUCCACUGUAGCUGGAUCAAGGAUGUAACAUUCUUUCUUUAAUGGAUUAGUGUUAUGUUUGAUGUCAUGGUCAUGGUAAGAGCUUUUCUUUCACCGCUGGAAUGAAAAUAAUAUUUGGGUUCAAGAAUAUGUUAGAGUCUUCAGUGUUGGAUUAUUUUGGAUGAGACGAACUCAAUGAAGCUGUCUCUUCCAAAAAAAUAAAAAAAAAAAGCAUCCCGGUGGUGCUACUUUUUCUGGGAAAGAAACCAGGAUUCACUAAAGAAUAUUCUCAAGGAAUUACUUUGCAUCAGAAUAGCAGGGGUAGCUUAUUUCAAAUAUUAACACUCUUCCCCUUUCUAAUUCUAAAAUUUUCUACUGUCUUGAGUUUUGUGUCAAUAUCCAAGUCACUGAUGCAUUAAGUGCUCUUUGUUCUCCAGGCAGAGCGAGGGAUUACAGCAUGAUGUCUUGCCACGUGUAUGUAUCAAUCUUGGGUGGGAUAACUUAUCCCUCGAAAUGAAACAGGUAUGUGUUUCGGUGCACUGUACAGAAGCGGUAACAUACCACCUAACUGGGCAAAUUGCAUGCGAGAUUUUAUCUAGGCGCUUGUGUUAAUAAUAAUAAAAAGAGUUUAUACCGUUUUUUCACUGUUUCCUUUUUAAGAUUAUUGGUCAAGUGUAAUUCU
rnacentral:lncRNA from 1 species